AACGAACGCUGGCGGCGUGGAUAAGACAUGCAAGUCGAACGGGAAUAAGUUUGUAGCAAUACAAAUUUAUUCUAGUGGCGCACGGGUGCGUAACACGUGAGCAAUCUGCCGGGAAGUGGGGGAUAGCUCGCCGAAAGGCGAAUUAAUACCGCAUAUGACUAGGAGUGACAUCUCUCCGACGUCAAAGCAGCAAUGCGCUUCCUGAUGAGCUCGCGGCCUAUCAGCUAGAUGGCGGGGUAACGGCCCACCAUGGCUAUGACGGGUAGCUGGUCUGAGAGGACGACCAGCCACACUGGAACUGAGACACGGUCCAGACACCUACGGGUGGCAGCAGUCGAGAAUUUUUCACAAUGGGGGAAACCCUGAUGGAGCGACGCCGCGUGGAGGACGAAGGCCUUCGGGUCGUAAACUCCUGUCAUGCGGGAACAAGAAAGUGAUAGUACCGCAAGAGGAAGAGACGGCUAACUCUGUGCCAGCAGCCGCAGUAAUAC
rnacentral:rRNA from 1 species